UACGGGGGGGGGCAAGCGUUGUUCGGAAUUACUGGGCGUAAAGGGCUCGUAGGGGGCCAACUAAGUCGGAUGUGAAAUCCCCAGGCUCAACUUGGGAACUGCAUCCGAUACUGGAUGGCUUGAAUUCGGGAGAGGGAUGCAGAAUUCCAGGUGUAGCGGUGAAAUGCGUAGAUAUCUGGAGGAAUACCGGUGGCGAAGGCGGCAUCCUGGACCGACAUUGACGCUGAGGAGCGAAAGCCAGGGGAGCGAACGGG
rnacentral:rRNA from 1 species